rnacentral:rRNA from 1 species
UACGGAGGGUGCAAGCGUUAUCCGGAUUCACUGGGUUUAAAGGGUGCGUAGGUGGGCAAGUAAGUCAGUGCUGAAAUACUCUAGCUUAACUAGAGGGGUGGCAUUGAUACUGAAAGGCUUGAGUGAAGUCGAAGUAGGCGGAAUUGACGGUGUAGCGGUGAAAUGCUUAGAUAUCGUCAAGAACACCGAUAGUGAAGACAGCUUACUAGACUUCAACUGACGCUGAGGCACGAAAGUGUGGGGAUCAAACAGG